GAUAAAUAAUAUAUUUUUUUAAAGAAAAUGUAUUUCUAUUAACUUUGAUGUAAAUAAAUUAAUUUUUGUUAUUUUAAUUAUGUCUGAUAAAACUAAAUAUAUUGUAUAUAGGCUUGCCAUCUCUCUGGGUUUGACUCGGAGACUCCGGGUUUCAGUGAGUUAUCUCUGGGCUCUGGGUUUAAUUAUUAUUUCUCUGGGUUGUGUAAGUAAAAUUGAAUAUGUACAAAAUUAUAUGCAGACUGUUGCAUGCAUGUCAUAUACCGUGUGUGGAAUAGCUAGUGCAGUAGUUGGUGGCUUAAUGACCCCCCCCUGCACUAAUGCAUACAUGGAAUGAAUUUUUUCGAUUAUGGGAAAUCCUUGGACAGACAACCGUAACAGGAUGCAGUUGAGCUGG
rnacentral:lncRNA from 1 species